rnacentral:rRNA from 1 species
CCUAUCCGUCGCAGGCGUAGGAAAUUUGAGAAGACCUGUCCUUAGUACGAGAGGACCGGGAUGGACGUACCUCUGGUGUACCAGUUGUUCUGCCAAGGGCAUGGCUGGGUAGCUAUGUACGGAAUGGAUAAGCGCUGAAAGCAUCUAAGCGCGAAGCCAACUUCAAGAUAAGAUUUCCCACCGCAAGGGUAAGACCCCAGAAAGACUAUCUGGUUGAUAGGUCGAAGGUGUAAGUGCAGCAAUGUAUUUAGCUUAUCGAUACUAAUAGGUCGAGGACUUGACCAAU